rnacentral:rRNA from 1 species
UACGUAGGGGGCCAGCGUUGUCCGGAAUCAUUGGGCGUAAAGCGCGCGUAGGCGGUCAGGUAAGUCCGGUGUGAAAGUCAAAGGCUCAACCUUUGAAUGCCGCUGGAAACUGCCUGACUUGAGUCCGGUAGGGGCGAGUGGAAUUCCUGGUGUAGCGGUGAAAUGCGCAGAUAUCGGGAGGAACACCAAUGGCGAAGGCAGCUCGCUGGGACGUUACUGACGCUGAGACGCGAAAGCGUGGGGAGCAACAGG